GCUUGCUUAAGCCACACAAACAGUAAAAUUGGAACAAUAUAGAGAAGAUUAGCACGUCCCUGCCCAAGGAUGACAUGCAAAUACAUGAAGUGUUCCAUAUUUUU
ensembl:snRNA U6 U6 spliceosomal RNA